rnacentral:rRNA from 1 species
UCUUGCACAAUGGAGGAAACUCCGAUGCAGCGACGCCGCGUGAGUGAUGAAGCCCUUCGCGGUGUAAAGCACUUUCGACAGGAACGAUAAUGACGGUACCUGAAGAAGAAGCUGCGGCUAACUACGUGCCAGCAGCCGCGGUAAUACGUAGGCAGCAAGCGUUGUUCGGAAUUACUGGGCGUAAAGAGUGUGUAGGCGGUGCUCUAAGUUUGGUGUGAAAUCUCCCGGCUCAACCGGGAGGCUGCAUCGAAUACUGGAAUGCUAGAGGAUUGGAGAGGUAAGCGGAAUUCCUGGUGUAGCGGUGAAAUGCGUAGAUAUCAGGAGGAACCCCUGGGGUGUAGGCAGCCCCCUGACUAUUACUGACGCUCAACACGA